AUAGAACAUCACAUCUAUGCAAUUCUAAGUCUUCUUCUAGGACACAUUUUAUAAUCUUUUGUAUUGAAUAUAUUCAAUUUUAAUGUAGAAAUGUUUAAUACCAUUGCUCACAGAUCUGUGGGGACAGGCUGUGAGAGUUGGGGCUCUUCAGCGUGGGGAAGAGAAUGUUUCGAGGAGACCUUGGAGCAGCCUUCCAGUACCUGAAGGGGUCCUGCAAGAAAGCGUGAACAAAGUUUUUUGGUGUUCAGAGGCCUCCUGGAAGGAAUGCAUCAUCAUUCCUCAUCUCAUGUGACAUCUCACCACUUCAAAAAAAUCCUCUCUAACAGCCUGGGCAAGGAACCCAUGAGAAGUUUUCAAUGCAGUGUGACCACAGUUCCAUUUUGUUAUGAAAGGCUUGUAAAAUAGAGAAAACUUGGACAGACAGCUGGAAUCACUGCCUCUCUGCUGAAGAGAAAAGUUCACCCAGCUGAACCUUGGUGAGAGCGCAUACAUGCCACAGCACAACGAGGAUGGAUCUUCAAGUGAAAGGAGCUAGG